rnacentral:rRNA from 1 species
UGACGCGCGGCAUGCCUUACACUGCAAGUCGAACGGCAGCACGGGUGCUUGCAUGGUGGCGAGUGGCGAACGGGUGAGUAAUACAUCGGAACAUGUCCUGUAGUGGGGGAUAGCCCGGCGAAAGCCGGAUUAAUACCGCAUACGAUCUACGGAUGAAAGCGGGGGACUUUCGGGCCUCGCGCUAUAGGGUUGGCCGAUGGCUGAUAGCUAGUUGGUGGGGUAAAGGCCUACCAAGGCGACGAUCAGUAGCUGGUCUGAGAGGACGACCAGCCACACUGGGACUGAGACACGGCCCAGACUCCUACGGGAGGCAGCAGUGGGGAAUUUUGGACAAUGGGCGAAAGCCUGAUCCAGCAAUGCCGCGUGUGUGAAGAAGGCCUUCGGGUUGUAAAGCACUUUUGUCCGGAAAGAAAUCCUUGGCUCUAAUACAGUCGGGGGAUGACGGUACCGGAAGAAUAAGCACCGGCUAACUACGUGCCAGCAGCCGCGGUAAUACGUAGGGUGCAAGCGUUAAUCGGAAUUACUGGGCGUAAAGCGUGCGCAGGCGGUUUGCUAAGACCGAUGUGAAAUCCCCGGGCUCAACCUGGGAACUGCAUUGGUGACUGGCAGGCUAGAGUAUGGCAGAGGGGGGUAGAAUUCCACGUGUAGCAGUGAAAUGCGUAGAGAUGUGGAGGAAUACCGAUGGCGAAGGCAGCCCCCUGGGCCAAUACUGACGCUCAUGCACGAAAGCGUGGGGAGCAAACAGGAUUAGAUACCCUGGUAGUCCACGCCCUAAACGAUGUCAACUAGUUGUUGGGGAUUCAUUUCCUUAGUAACGUAGCUAACGCGUGAAGUUGACCGCCUGGGGAGUACGGUCGCAAGAUUAAAACUCAAAGGAAUUGACGGGGACCCGCACAAGCGGUGGAUGAUGUGGAUUAAUUCGAUGCAACGCGAAAAACCUUACCUACCCUUGACAUGGUCGGAAUCCUGAAGAGAUUCGGGAGUGCUCGAAAGAGAACCGGCGCACAGG